AUACGAAGGGGGCUAGCGUUGUUCGGAAUCACUGGGCGUAAAGCGCACGUAGGUGGAUCAAUCAGUUGAGGGUGAAAUCCCGGGGCUCAACCUCGGAACUGCCUUCAAUACUGUUGAUCUUGAGUCCGAGAGAGGUGAGUGGAAUUCCUAGUGUAGAGGUGAAAUUCGUAGAUAUUAGGAAGAACACCAGUGGCGAAGGCGGCUCACUGGCUCGGUACUGACGCUGAGGUGCGAAAGCGUGGGGAGCAAACAGGAUUAGAAACCCCAGUAGUCC
rnacentral:rRNA from 1 species